UCCACUCACUGCUUCUUGACCAAGGAUGGAAACCCCAACUGUAGAUGUGACCCUGCCUUCUGUCUGUGGCCUUAGGGUGGGAUGUGAAAGCCAAGAGAUUAUACAAAUCUCCACAAAAAAGAUUAAAAAUAUGUCAUAAAAGAUCUCUAAAUGUUUUAAUUUGUUUGAAGUUUAAUUAAGGGCCAUAAAAUAUACUCCCAAAUACCACAUGCUCUUUAAAUAGCUAUUAAGGUUCUGGUCUAUUUAAGGAAAUGCCACUUUUAUGGACACAGGGCAAGAAGCCAAGGGCUCUGAUUCAUCUCUCUGCUGACACAUGCAAGCAUCCACUUCCUCAUGCCUGUCUGAGCCGUGCAGAGCGCUGUCCCCAGGUCCACCUUCAGGCAGAGGUGGUCCUCACUGGUCCUCCAGCUUCACAAGGACACCACACUGUUAAGCUGCAACCCAGUGCACUCAGAAUGAAACCUGCUGGGGAUCACAGCCCAGCCUCAUGAGACACAAGAUGGCAGUCUGCAACCUGGAAGAUGCCCUCACAAGAAUCCCACCAUGCUGGCAUCCUGAUCUCAGACUUCCAGCCUCUAGGCCUGUGAGAAAUAAAUUUCUGUUGUUUAUAAGCCACCCAGGCUAUGGUACUUUGUUACAGUAGUCCAAACUGACUAAGACACCAUAUGAACACCUGCACGUGAACGUUCAUAGGAGUUUUGCUUACAAUAAGCAAUAACUGGAAACAACCCAAAUGUCCAUCAGCAGCUGAAUGGCUUAAUAAUUGUGGUAAACCCAAAAAAUGGACUAACACUCAGGGAAAAAAAGGAAAUGAGCUACGGUUACACACAAUGACAUGAAUGAAUCUCAAUGUGCUAAGUGAAAGGAGCCAGAACUCCCCUAAAAUUGUACACACUAUGAUUCUAUUUAUAUAAAACUAUAACAAAUACAAACAAUAUACAGCAACAGCAGAUCAGUGGCUGUGUGGGGAUGGGAAAUGUGGGGGAGAAGCAGGAUGACGGCAGUACAAAGGGGCACGAGGAAAUGUUCAUGGUGAUGGUUUGUCUAUCAUGUGGUGAUAGCUUUCACAGGUGUAUAUAUGUGACAUAUAUGUAUAUGUAUGUCAAAAGUUAUCAAGUUGUAAACUUUAUACGCAAUUUAUUAUGUCAACUAUACCUCAAUGCAACUAUUAAAAAAAAGGAAGCCCAAGGCCACAAACACAUUUAGGUACCACACAGGCUCUCUCUGUUUUAGAGCUUUUUAACUGAAUGUAGUACAGGUAUAAACCAUGGCAGAACUGGAUACAGUCCAGGCACAGUCCAAGGGACCCUGGUCAAAAGCUGAUGUCUGAUGGAAGAUAUCCUGGGUGGACGCUAACUGGCAGAAAGUCAUCUUGUGUGUUCCAGGGUAUAAGCUAAAUCUUAGGUGAAUCACUAGAAAGUCCUGCAGCUGCAAACACACCUGGCUUACAUCAUGUAGCAUUCUUCCCUACACCACCACUUAAUCUCACCCUCAUAUUGCCUCAUCUACCCAGAUUCCCUCUCAUUUGUGAGGCAACAUUAAAAAAGCAUCAUAAGGUUCUGUCAGGUCACUGUCACAUUAUUAGCUUCUCUAAUUACUUAAGUAAGAGAUAACAGUCUCUGUGGCAGAUUAAAUUUUCCAAAAAUGACCACAGCAGUAUUUCUGGCCCCACAUCUUCUUCAGAAGCCUCCUAUGCCCCAUCAAAAGGUGGCGCCUAUUUCCCUUCCCCUUGUAACUGCCUUGACAAACAGUAUGGUAGAAGAGAUGCUGCAUGGCUUCCAAGACUGUGUCAUCAAAGGUGGGGUGGCUUAUGCCUGUCUCUCCCUCUCGACAACUGUCCUUGGAAUGUGGCCACCACAUUUUGAGGAAGCGCAGACCAAAUAUUGGAGAGGCUACAUAGAAGUGCUCUGGCCACAGGUCUAGUGAAAGUCUCCGCCAACAGCCACCAGACCUGUAAGGGAGGGAGCCAUCAGCUAGUUCCACCUCUCCAGUGGCACUGAGCUGAGUAGAGCGGAGAUGAGAUGAGAUGAGAUAUCCCCACUAAGCCCCACCCAAACUGUAAACUCAGGAUAUAAAUAGACGUCAUUAUGUUAAGCCAUUAAGUUUUGGGUGGUGUUUAUAGAUAACCAGCCUCUUUUCUACUGAAUCUAAAGAGUGCAUUCAGAAAGGAAACUAGUUUCUCUCUCUCCCGCCCUAUGUUGUCUAAUGGCUAAUUACCCUUCCCAUAAUCAUUUAUCAUGAGGCAGCAACAGGGCAUCUUUACAAAUAACCUGCUUCUCAAAUGGAGAGGUCACCAUAAAUUGCCAGAAUGACCUCAGGCUAAACUCAUUUGUGAAAAUCCAGAGCAAUCAUGUAUCUAAUGAAAUCAACCUGUUGAACUCCAACUUGUCUGUGGAGGCCACAUCCUUAUGUUGUCAUCCCAUCCAAAGUGGAUGAAGCACAAGAAAACAAUGAUUUCUCAUGAUGCAAGGAAGUCAAGAACUGUGCCUGUUAUUUGAGAUGAUACAUAAAGAUUAUUUGACCCAGAGAAUUUAAUGAUUCUGCUUUUAGCAAAAUAAUUAGGCAGCUCUUGAAAAUGUUACUUAUCUGAUUUCUGUUUCUCAGCAUUACUCGUAAUAAAAAUACCUACUUACUGGAAACUUACUGAAGAGUCUGGGACACUGCCGUGGAGGCUGGACAGCUCAGUGGAAAGAGCCUGGGGCUGGGAGCUUGGAGAGCCAAUUGUAUGGUCUUAGGCAAGCAUGGCACCUUUCUGAUUUGCAGAUGUGAAAUGGAAGCCCUGGGUUUGUGAUUUCUAGGGGCUGUCUCAAGUCUGACUUCCUCUAACUUCUGAGAAUGGAAUGUGGGUGCUGAUUCACAUGAAGUAUUUCACAUUUUAUCUAAGGAAAUGCAUCCUGAGACAAUUAUCUUAAAGCUAAACAAGAGCAUUGGCAAACAAACCAUUUUAUUACAUUCGGCAGGUUUUCUCCAUGUCAUUAGUGGAAGUUAAAUGGAAAAAGAAUGCAAGAAAAAGGAACAAAACCUUGAGCUAAAGGGAAGACAACCCUGUAGAGUUCCAUUCAAACUGCUUAGGUCUGCCCACCGCCAGUAGCCCAUCUAGUUGGUGAAGUAACAACAGGUACAUCCAAGCUACUGCUGUUGCUGCCAACAGACCAUGCCUCCGCCAGGGCACCAUUCCUAAUUCUCUUUCCAAAUCCAAAUGUACCGGUCCUGAAUGCAGCUCUGAAAAAUGCUCACAGUGAGGGGAGUGAAAUGAGCAUUUAAGGACUGGUGCUGUAUACAAGGCCUCCACUCCUUCCCCUGUUUGGGAGGAUCUAAUUUGUGUCAUCCAGGGGAGAAAAGCCUUGACUGAGUAGUCUCAUCUACCACACACAAAACACACUGAUCAAACUCAUUUAUGGUAAUGGCACUAAGCAACUGAUUUUUAAAAUUACAGCCCUGAAAUUUCUGGAAAUAGAUGUUAAUAGUAGCUAUCAAGAUCAUGUUUAAACAGAAUGCAGUAAGUACACUGUGAUUCUGGGAAAACUUUGUUUCCCAGCUGCUAUGUUUGACAUUAAAAGGAAUGCCCUGAAAACAGGAAAGAGUUCUUUCACUUCACUGGGACAGAAAAGCCAUCAAUUAACCUCUGCUGUGUGCAGUAAAGAACACAGGCCCGGCCGGGCGCAGUGGCUCACACCCGUAAUCCCAGCACUUUGGGAGGCCAAGGCGGGCGGAUCCCAAGAUCAGGAGAUUGAGACCAUCCUUGCUAACAGGGUGAAACCCCGUCUCUACUAAAAAUACAAAAAAUUAGCUGGGUUUGCUGGCAUGCGCCUGUAAUCCCAGCUACUCAGGAGGCUGAGGCAGGAGAAUCGCUUGAACCCAGGAGGCAGAGGUUGCAGUGAGCCGAGAUCGCUCCACUUCAGUCUGGGCGACAGAGUGAGACUCUGACUCAAAAAAAAAAAAAAAAAAAAAAAAAAGAAAAGAAAAAAAAAAAAAAGGAACACAGGCCCAAGAAGAGCCCUGAGAUACAAGCUGUUUCUAUUCCCCGGUGGCUCCAAGAAAUGUGAAGCUCUUGGCCAACCGCUGAGCCUUCGGGAUGAAGAUACCUUGUCAUCAGGACAGAAAAUGAUUAGACUCCAGGAGUUUUUAUUGCUUCACUGUGGAGAACUUAUGAGUAGACACAGUCCACAUAAAGAAUGGGUGGGACGCAAGGCUGGCCAUUCUUGUUCCCCUUUGUUCAAGUAUUUUUAACCCCUGGAACACACUGAUAUUUACAAACAAUAAGAUCUUUCUGUAUACUUAGUUUCCAUGCAAGUGACAAUGUAAAAUGAAAAGAUUUAGACUUUCAACCUAGAUUUGAUUCAGAUCAAAACUCUUAUCUACUGCCAGCACCUUUUUUUAUUUUUUAACUCUGGGAAGUAAUUCCUGUGACCUAAGAUUCCAGUUAUAGAAGAGGAAAUUAAACCAACUAAGCUCUGCUUGGACUAUGAGGAAUUCCUAAUGCAUUAUUUUAACAGCAUUCUGUCUACUGGAAGAACUCCCAGCUUUCUCUAACCUUUCUCAUGCCACACACCCCUAGCCCAGUCCUAACUCUGAUCAUGGAGAGAGGACGCUAGGAAGGUGGAAGGGUGAGAAAAGGAAGGAUCAGGGGAAGAGCGGCAUUCUGGAAUGUUUUCCAGAGAGGAAACUAAAGUCCUCUUUUUUUUUUUUUUUUAAGGGUUGGGGUAGGGGAUGAGUAGAAAUAACAUUCCCCUUCAAGGCUGGACACAUAAGGGAAAGAGGGAUGACAUGUGAAAAGGAAGCGUCUCUAUUCCCUUGUCUUUUCCAGUAUGUAGUGUCUAGGAAGAAUCAGAAGAAACUUGUGCUUUUGGGCCCAAUCUCUUUAGGUUAGGAAAGUCACCUUUAUAUAAGAAUCUACUCAACCCACAGGCUUUGAAAUGGUGGCAAUGAGUAGUGGCCUAAGGGGGUGUGACUAACACCAAGUGCUAAUCUCAUGCCUGGGUUGUGCAGGUAGCAAGUACCAUACUUAAUACUUCAUACAAUUUAUAAAGAGCACUUCCUUUUUCUCCUAUUUGUCUCCUAUUUCUAUUAUUACAAAGGAAGCUGUGAAGGACUGAGCUAUUUUUAUCUGUUCACUAGUUCUCACUCUAUUGAUUCUUCAAUCUAUGGGGACACACAAUUCUGGGAGAAUAAAGGUAAGUACUUCUUUUCCUUGCUUAGGAAAGAGGGUAGGGAAAAUAAAAAAGAAUCCCAAAAUGACGCAUGCUAGGAAACUUCUGGCUGCAGUAGAGCAAAGAGGUAGAUAGAUCCUUUCCCUAAAAAAAAAAAAAACCCGAAAGCCCCCACAAACACAAAUAUAAACCUGGACAAAAGUGUCACAAAUUACCAUUUUAGGGCAAAUCAACCAAAGGCAAACAACAAACUAAGAAGUAUUAUUGGCCAGACACAGUGGCUCACAUCUGUAAUCAGCACUUUGGGGGGUUGAGGUGGGUGGAUCACCUGAGGUCAAGUUUGAGACCAGCCUGGCCAACAUGGUGAAACCCUGUCCCUACUAAAAAUACAAACAUUAGCCGGCCAUGGUGGCAUGCACCUGUAAUCCCAGCUACUUGGGAGGCUGAAGCAGGAGAAUCGCUUGAACCCAGGAGGCAGAGGUUGCAGUAAGCCAAGAUCGCACCAUUGGCUCUCCAGCCUGGGUGACAAGAGUGAAACUCUGUCUCCAAAAAAAAAAAAAAAAAAAAAAUCAGUUAUAGAAAGGAGUGAAGUACUAACACAUGCCACGUGGAAGAACCUCAAAAAUAUGGUACAUGAAAGAUGCCAGUGACAAAAGACCACAAAUGAUUCCAGUUACAUGAAAUGUCUGGGACAGGCAAACCCAUGGUGGCUGCCUAGGGCUGUGAGGUGGUAAGAAUAUUCUAAAAUUCAUUGUGAUGAUGAUUAUACAACUCUGUGCAUAUACUAAAAACCACUGAACUGUCCAACUUGGUGAGUUGUAUGGUACGGGAGUUGUAAAAAAAAUAACACAACUAAAUCUUAGAAACUCAACUCUCAGAAGUUAACUUUUAUAAGAUAUCUGUGGUAGGCCCAUAAGCUGUUGAUGUCUUAAUCUCUGGAACUUAUGAACAUGUUUAUUUACAUGGCAAGAGAGUUUGCAGAUGUGAUUAAACUAGUUCAACCAUUGUGGAAGUCAGUUUGGCGAUUCCUC
rnacentral:lncRNA from 10 species